AAAACCAGUAACAUUAACUUGGAAUGUCCCUAUUGAUACUGAGAUAGUCUCAAGAUGUACCGCUAGCCUAUGUAGCUCUGAUAUACUGACUCUAUUGGAAUAUAUAGAUGUAUCAACAGGGUAUCGAUGCUUCAUAAUAGACUGGUAAAAGUACAAUGGCAACGUAGCUUGUAUGAAAUUAGACCAGUGACAUUAACUUGAAUGUCAUCAUUGAUCCUUGAAUAGAUCUCAGAACGUGACUAGCCUAUUUAACUCUUAUAGGCUGCCUCAAAUGAUGUACAGAAUUGGUAUCAAUGGAUGAAAGUUUAUAGUAGCCUAACCCAUAGCGGGAUAGUAGUUAGUAGUGGAGCGAACCUAAUAUAGGUAUUCACUUGCACACGUCUGUGCCUUGAUAUCGGGCUCUGUCUAAGAGCAGCCUGGAUAUUGAGCUCCGUCUGAUAACAGCCGGAAGGUAAGUAACCAUCAAAAGGGAAUAUAGAAGGGGAGCUG